rnacentral:tRNA from 1 species
GGCGACGUAGCUCAGAGGUAGAGCAGGGGUCUCAUAAGCCCUGUGUCGUGGGUUCGAAUCCCACCGUCGCCA